UGCAGAUUUGAGGCUGCCAGAGAAUGGAGUGUCUGACAUUUUGCUGCAGGCUGUAAUCCAGCAGGCAUGAUGAAAUGUCCUUUGGAAACUACAAGCAUUCUGGGACUGGGAGAUUUCAGCCAGCAAACUCCGAGGAUCCUUCUCCUGAUACCCAUUCAUUUUGGCAGUGCCAUCUUCAUUCUUUUGCCAGGCACAUGGAGGACACUGUGCUGCAUGCUGUGACUAAGGAAGUCACGGAUAGGAACGGGAUGAUGUCUGUGUAUUUGGAACUAUGCAAGUGGAUGGAUCAGUCUCUGUGGUUUCAUAGGGCUUUGGAACCAUAACAAAACAGCCAAUGGAGAAGGAAGGAAGAAAUAAAGCUUUUCUUCAGCAGAGCAUUUAUCUAGAGCAGCUUUACACAGAGGAGAGCUACUUUGAGGGCAGCCAACUAGCAGUGAAUGGUGGGACAAGCAGUGAUGCAGAACAGGGUGACCGGCAUCAAUAGUGCACUCUCUUAGAAGCCCACUCUCCUAGAAAUCUCUAUCACUCACCCCACAGCUGCAUUAGCAGAGUACCAGAAUAAGACCUCCCCUCAACCUCCACCACCACCUGAAGCCACCAUCAGCCCAUCACUCCUGACUGCUAGCAGUUAACUGCUGACCGGACAGAAUACUGGAGCAGUUGCCACAGAGGUUUGCCUUGCUGGGAGAAGGGUGCUGCUGUUCAGGGGCAUAGGGCUUGGCAAUGCACAGGAGGCUAUUGAUAGCUGUGCAUGGAGGGGCUUCCAAAACCCUACCAAGAUGACUGAUGGGACACACGUGCCUUUUCCUUGCUGCACACUCCAGGACAAGGACAUCAUUAACAGGAAGGUUCUUUUCCUCAUAGAACUGCAAGACCUGUUUGAUCACGUGAAGGAUGCACUGAUGUUGAUACAGGGGGGCCUGGAAAGAUCCAUCGUGCCUGAAUCUUCAGAAAGGCAGACCCAUUUGCUGGAAAGAGCAAGGAAAUAUUUGGUUACCAGUUGGGAGACUCAACCCACCUUCUGCUUCUCUGGUCCUUCACUGGAAGCUUGAGCAAGAGACUGGAGAGCUCCAACUGGGCUCCAGGUAGUUACAGAAUGUCAGCAGAGAUAUUUUUUGGAAAAGCAGAGGGCAGCUGGUGGGGCUUUAUGGGAACACUGGAUAUUUGCUAUCAUUGCAUGCUUUAUAUGGUAUCAUAUUGCUUUCUGGAUCAUAAUCAAAGAGCUUGAGAGUGUAGUGUAAACUUACAGCCGAUGGAAUUGAGCCAUGGCCAGGGUAACACUAUGAACUGUCACAUAGUAGGUGGGGAGAAGAAAGAAAACCUCCAGCAGCUGACUCCAGUUAAACAGCCCUCUCUGAUGCUGCUGAGAGUGGGACGGGUUUGAGUCUAUUUAAGUCAAACCCAGCCAGUGCCUUCCUGGAGGAAGAAAAGUACUGCUGAAAGAAGCUGGAGGAAGAAAAACAGCUCCAGAUGAAAGUUCUGGAAUGCCAUUCCCAUCUUCUCACGCUCUUCAGUUUCUCUGAGAUGCAGUGGCAUCUUUGCUGGGCAUUUGGUUGCUCCAGCAUCUUCCACCUUGUCUGAUGGGAAGCAGCAGGAGACCUAAGGAGCAUUAACUAAGUCAAAAGGAGAGCACCAUAGGAAACUAGAUGAAUACACAGUGAACUGCAGUCUGCCAGCCCCCUUUUCCCCCCGCAAGCUUGCUGCUUAAUUUCGCAGCACUAUGGCAAUGCCAGCCAAUGAAAAAUCCAGUGGCAUCAGGGAGUUCCUAAGUAAAAUGACACCUAUGGUCCCUCCAGGUCCUGAGGACACAUCCCGUUUCAGCUCUCAGUGCAUUGUCUGGCUGAGGGUGAAACUGCAGCAGUCCCCUGAGAAUUGCCUGUGCUUGCCUCCAACCAUCUGACUCGUGUCCACUCCCUACAAGUUUACUCCAUUCUCCAGGAGCCAGAACUAGCAGUGACCAAACUGCAAAUACAUGCAGUAUGAUUUAUUACAGCGACAGCAUUUUAGAAACUGUACAUCAUAGAAACACUAAACCAAGCUAUAAGCAAGCUCCAAAGCUCAGCAUUCCCUACAUCUAGGCAGGCCCAAUUUCUUUAACACCCCCAGCUCCCAACACACAGUGUUUCUGUUAACCUAUUUCCCUAGGAUGCUUCUGACCAGGGCCUUCCCCCACUUUCGAGCAGGACCUUUUAACCUUUUCAUGCCCUUUCUAUCUCAAGGCUCCAAGCUUCAGUGAAAUAAGCCUUGCAAUUUGGUGCAGUUCAGAAUCCUUGAAGCUAAAAGCUCGCCCCAUUACCUUCCAAGUGAGUGCCUGAGGCUGCUUAACGAGACCUCGUGUACUGCUGUUGUGUUUACUCUUCCCAUGGCCCCCUAUUACAUUAAAUACAGUCAUGCAAGAGAUUCUAAUAACCCUCUCGUUAUACAGAAACUUUACCCCACUCGCCAUAUCAUUUACACUACUUACACUAUUAUUACAUAUACAUAGUCAUAGACUGCUAUAUAUCUGCUACCUGCCUAUCACCUUGUUGAAUGCUCUUUGCUGAAGGGGAACUGCUGGGUGACACAGGCCAAUGUAGCUGUGCUCUAUAGUACUUCUCCAGUAUUCCUUAGUUGAGGGGGAAAAUGGGGUGGCCAGAGCACCGCUGUUCUGAAUUAAACAGGGGACUAAGCUAGUUCCAGCUGAGCAAAGACCACUCCAAAUCUCGGCCAGUAAUUCAGUAUUAAGAGAGAGAGCUCCUUGGCAAU